AAAAAAAAAAAAACAAGAAACGAAAGUGCUCAGGGAAGGAACUCUGCGCAGGCGCUCUAGGAGUAAGCAGAGUUCACCUCUGCUGUUGGGACAAUUAAAGGCCGACAAACCUCAAGCCAGUCUGACAAAAGGAGAAGAGAAGAAUUAAAAUCAGAUAAAAGAGAAGAGUACCAUUACACAGAAUCCAACAAAUUAUAGAACCUUACUAGAGAAUACUCUAUAAACCUUUAAAGUUCUGGAAGACAAAAAUAGGAGAAUUUCUAAAUGCAUAGCAUCUACCAAAAUUACAGCCAGAAGCUCUCAAUAAUUUAAACAGAUGCAUCUCAAACCAUGAGACAGAAUGUCAAACGCCUCCUUGGAACCUUGGCAGACCCACACCUUUCAUCCAAGGCAGGCAGGUCUCUGUGAGUUUGAUUCCAGCCCUGUCUACUCAGCAAGACCCAGGAUGGCCAGGGCUGCAUAGCGAAACCCUGCCUCCAAAGUUAAAAACAAAACAAAACAAAACAAACCACUCUAAUGGGGUGGUUAUGGCACACGCCAUAUGGCACACGCCCUUGAUCUCUGUGAGUACAAGGCCAGCCUGGUCUACAGCCUGGGCUUCUCAGAGAAACCCUGUCUCAAAAAAGAAAGAGAGAGAGAAGGAAAAGAAAAGUGAAGUCUUUACUCAAAAGUCCAGGACCAGACUGACACGAGAAUUCUAUCAAACAUCCAAGAAAGAUCUCACAGUAAUUCUUAGUUUGUUCCACAAAAUACAAAGUGAAAUAACACUUUCAAACACAUUUCAGGGAGUCGGUAUUAUCCUAAUGACAGAACCAGAUCAUGAGAAAGAAAACUACAGACCGAAAAUUGUGUGGAUGAAUAUAG